rnacentral:rRNA from 1 species
GCUGGCGGCGCGCCUCAUGCAUGCAAGUCGAACGAUAACUAGUUCAUUCGUAAGAUUGAAUUAGGGACAGUGGCGAACGGGUGCGUAACACGUGAGAAACCUGCCCUGGAGAUCGGGAUAGCCCGAGGAAACUCGGAUUAAUACCGAAUAUGCUCACAGGACCGCAUGGUCCGGUGAGGAAAUGGUCCGCUGCUCCAGGAUGGUCUCGCGGCCUAUCAGCUAGUUGGUGAGGUAAUGGCUCACCAAGGCUCCGACGGGUAGCUGGUCUGAGAGGACGAUCAGCCACACUGGGACUGAGACACGGCCCAGACUCCUACGGGAGGCAGCAGCAGGGAAUAUUGCACAAUGGGCGAAAGCCUGAUGCAGCGACGCCGCGUGCGGGAUGAAGGCCUUCGGGUUGUAAACCGCUUUCAGGAGGGACGAAAAUGACGGUACCUCCAGAAGAAGGCCCGGCCAACUACGUGCCAGCAGCCGCGGUAAUACGUAGGGGCCAAGCGUUGUCCGGAUUUAUUGGGCGUAAAGGGCUCGUAGGCGGUUUGACAAGUCGGUCGUGAAAACCCGGGGCUCAACCCCGGGACGCCGGUCGAAACUGUCAUGACUAGGGUCC